ensembl:misc_RNA Metazoa_SRP Metazoan signal recognition particle RNA
GCUGGGCGUGGUGGCGCGUGCCUGUAGUCCCAGUUACUCAGGAGGCUGAGGCCGGAGAAUUGCUUGAACCUGGGAGACCGAGACUACAGUGAGUCAAGACCGCACCAUUGUACUCCAGCCUGGGUGACAGAGCAAGACUCCGUCUCAA